rnacentral:rRNA from 1 species
GAGUUUGAUCUUGGCUCAGAGCGAACGCUGGCGGCAGGCCUAACACAUGCAAGUCGAGGGGCCGUAGCAAUACGGCACCGGCAGACGGGAGAGUAACACGUGGGAACGUGCCCAUCAGUUCGGAACAACCCAGGGAAACUUGGGCUAAUACCGGAUACGCCCUUACGGGGAAGAUUUAUCGCUGAUGGAGCGGCCCGCGUCUGAUUAGCUUGUUGGUGAGGUAACGGCUCACCAAGGCGACGAUCAGUAGCUGGUCUGAGAGGAUGAUCAGCCUCACUGGGACUGAGACACGGCCCAGACUCCUACGGGAGGCAGCAGUGGGGAAUAUUGGACAAUGGGCGCAAGCCUGAUCCAGCCAUGCCGCGUGGAUGAUGAAGGCCCUAGGGUUGUAAAGUCCUUUCGACGGGGAGAUAAUGACGGUACCCGUAGAAGAAGCCCCGGCUAACUUCGUGCCAGCCGCCGCAGU